GACGAACGCUGGCGGCGUGCCUAAUACAUGCAAGUAGAACGCUGAAGGAGGAGCUUGCUCUUCUGGAUGAGUUGCGAACGGGUGAGUAACGCGUAGGUAACCUGCCUGGUAGCGGGGGAUAACUAUUGGAAACGAUAGCUAAUACCGCAUAACAGUAGAUGUUGCAUGACAUUUACUUAAAAGGUGCAAUUGCAUCACUACCAGAUGGACCUGCGUUGUAUUAGCUAGUUGGUGGGGUAACGGCUCACCAAGGCGACGAUACAUAGCCGACCUGAGAGGGUGAUCGGCCACACUGGGACUGAGACACGGCCCAGACUCCUACGGGAGGCAGCAGUAGGGAAUCUUCGGCAAUGGACGGAAGUCUGACCGAGCAACGCCGAGUGAGUGAAGAAGGUUUUCGGAUCGUAAAGCUCUGUUGUAAGAGAAGAACGAGUGUGAGCGUGGAAAGUUCACACUGUGACGGUAUCUUACCAGAAAGGGACGGCUAACUACGUG
rnacentral:rRNA from 1 species